UCGGGGUGUAGCGCAGUCCGGUUAGCGCGCCAGCUUCGGGAGUUGGAGGUCGCUGGUUCGAAUCCAGUCUCCCCGACCCA
rnacentral:tRNA from 1 species